AAAAAAAAAUUUUUCAUCAAACCCACACGUGUGGGGUAUCUAUGGAUAGGUCUUCAAAAAUGAUAUUGAGGUUUCUAAUAUUAUUUUUUUCUAUACUGAAUAGUUUGCGCGAGAGACACUUCCAAAGUGGUAAAAUGUGUGCCCCCCCCCCCCCUGUAACUUCUAAAAUAAGAGAAUGAUAAAACUAAAAAAAAUAUAUGAUGUACAUUACCAUGCAAACUUCCACCAAAAAUUGGUUUGAACGAGAUCUAGUGAGUAGUUUUUUUUUAAUACGUCAUAAACGGUACGGGGUUCACGGGCGAGUCCGACUCGCACUUACUUGGCCGCUUUUUUGUAAUAAGUGAUAUUAAAUUUAUAUUAAUAUAUUGCAGUGUUCAAGAAGCAAAAUUCUUCCAAAUCAUAUGUAAAAUUUCAGGUUUCAUCAAAAUGAAACGUUGUCAAUUGUAUCUAAUUUAAUAGAGUGUUUCCUCGCCAUUUUGAACUAAAAAAAUCAAAUCGUCCUUUAAUUAUAGUUAUUAAAAAUUCAAAUCCUAAUUUUAAAUAUUGUUUAUUUCAUAACAACACUUUGUGAAUUUCGAAGAAAACCGUUAAUUCUCAUAUGUUCAGAUAUGGGAUGAAAGUGGAAUUUUCCUUUAACUUUCUACUUGGAAAGUACAGUGAAAGUGUCUUUAUAACCACCCAGUUUUUGUGUAAACUUGGCACUUGAAACAUGCGAAAGAAUUUGGCACUACACCAACUUACAUUCCAAAUAAGAAAAAGGUGUCUACAUACCAUCAAGGUAUAUAUUGCCAUUAUUUUAAUAUGUGUAAGUGUAUAAAUAGAACAUUUUUUAUUGUUUAAUACAAUUUGAAUUGUGUUUCGAACAUUUCUAUGUCUACAAUGCUGCACUAAAUACAAGUUUCUAUUUGACCUAAUGGUUAGUGAGAGUGACUGAUAGAGAAUGUCUUAAGGCAUUACGAGGAAACAUUCGUGGUGAUUUUUCCAUACAAACGUUUUUGCCAUUUUCCUCUCUGGAUUUUGGCCCUAGAUUAAUAUUUUUGGUAAUAUAAGCUCAAUAUUACCAGUACCUGCGUUUGUACGUUUUGCAUUUUUUGAUACCCUUGGUUUUAUAAGAACUAAGUUACUUUCAAAAGCGCUAAAAACGGCCAAAUAAAUGCGCCGUGUCCAUUUACGGCCUAGCCUAGCAUACAACAUUGGCAACAAUAAACGCACAAAUCAAAGAGCAUAUAAUCACAAAUCAAAACAAUCAGACAUAGAUAAUUUCUUUCUCAUCCCGUUCCAAAAAUAUCGGUACGAUUGUCAAGUUUUGGAGAAGGAAAAUGUCGAGAACGAAACCUCGAUUCCUGAGACUUUUAUGCGGGAUUUUCGCCUAAACUGCAGUUGUCCUUAUCGCACUAAUUUUAAAAGCCACCCCCGUCAGCGUGACGGAGGUAUUUACCUCAAAUUUUCAAAUCUGAGAAGGGGCUCACCUGGUAUUAUCUCUUUAAGUCCGCUGUUUGUAAAAUUUUAUAUCGGGCAAUAAAGUUUAAAUAAGUACAUAAAUUUAUAUUAGACAGCAAAACAUGACGGAUUAUGUAAACCUACCUAUUAAUGUAGGUGUGGUGAGUUAAUCGGUUUUCCGCUUGUAAAACCUAUCAAUUGUUUCUUGGAGUUUGAAUAACGUAUCCGGUUAUGACUGAAUCAUGAUUUUUCAUUAGAUAUGCAUAAUUUUAUUAGUUACAGUUUCAUCGUGACUCCCGUGGACGAGUUUAUAUGGCAAUAUACUCAGUUGAUACGCAAUUCAAGUUAUCUUUUGCGGUUUACGUAGACUCCUACUCAUCGAAAAUUGUUCCUGCAGGUGAAAUGUUAUUAUUCUUAUUCAUUUUGAAUUUGCUCAUUGGUUAUGUAUACUCAAGAGAAAACAGAUUUGAAACUGUCCCAUCUAGUCAAAAACAUGGGAACAAUCUCAGAACCUUAGAAUUACUUCCUCUUUAUGGAAAACGUUAUCCAGAUUGGGAACAUAGCUCAAGAAAAAGAAAUACCAAAAGAAGACAUAGAAGAAAAUGUAAAGAAGUGUGUCUGCAAUAUUCUGAGCAUGACAAAAAUGGUCGCACAAGGUACUCGUCGGUAUUAUGUAGUCUCAGAGAUGUAGCAAAGCUGUUUGAAGACAGAUUUGAUAAUGUAGAAGUUGUAUCGGAUUAAUAUUUAUUUACAAAUAA